UGUUCUAUGGCCGAACUGGUAAAGGCAUUGCCGAUAGUAAUAUAUUGUAGUUUUUGUUGCCGAUCACAAGCAAGGUUGCGGGUUCUAGUCCCGCUGGAACGG
rnacentral:tRNA from 1 species